AAUCCCAUACAAAAUGUUAGUAAACGCCAAACGCGUUCACGAUCGAAUGUGAAACAAAAAACUCACACUCGGCACACGGCAUAAAAAUAACACUG